AUAGUAAAUAGGUUUAUAUUGAUUUUGUGUAGAAUAAGAUACAAGGCGAAAUUGUCUGAAUGCGAGCUCUCUGUGUCAAGAAAGUUUACUCCUUUCUCUCGAAACUAUCUUUAGCUUCUUCAGUUUACUGUCGUCGAUACACUGGCCAUGCGAUAUCGAAUCACAGAACCCAUCAUCGAGGUUUCUCUAAUGAAGAAGCUCUUAUCCUACGACGCUUGUCUGAAGGAGGACUCGUACACGCACGCCACCUGCUCGACAAAAUUCCUCAGAGAGGAAGCAUCAGCCGUGUCAGGUACUGGACUUCGCUUCUCACCAAGUUCGCGAAAGCUGGAUACUUGUACGAAGCUAGGGCUUUGUUCCAAGUGAUGCCGGAGAGGAACAUCGUCACUUGCAACGCGAUGCUGACGAGUUAUGUCAGAUGCAGGAGGCUCGAUGAGGCGUGGACUCUGUUCAGGGAGAUGCCCAAGGACGUUGUUUCGUGGACUGUGAUGCUUACUGCGCUCUGUGAUGAUGGAAGGAGCGAUGAUGCGGUCGAGUUGUUCGAUGAAAUGCCUGAGAGAAACGUGGUUUCUUGGAACACGUUGGUCUCGGGUCUGAUUAAGAACGGGGAUAUGGAGAAGGCGAAACAGGUGUUUGAUGCUAUGCCUAGCCGAGAUGUUGUGUCGUGGAACGCUAUGAUUAAAGGGUAUAUCGAGAACGAUGGAUUGGAAGAAGCUAAAGUCUUGUUUGGGAGUAUGAGCGAGAGAAAUGUAGUUACUUGGACGAGCAUGGUGUCUGGUUAUUGCCGAUACGGAGAUGUUCAUGAAGCUUAUAGAUUGUUCUGUGAAAUGCCUGAGAGGAAUGUCGUUUCUUGGACUGCUAUGAUCGGUGGGUUUGCUUGGAAUGAGUUCCACAGAGAAGCAUUGCUGCUUUUUCUUGAUAUGAAGAAGGAUCUUGAUGCGGUAUUACCGAAUGAUGAGACUCUUAUAUCUCUUGCUUAUGCUUGUGGUGGUCUUGGUGCUGGAUUUCACUGUCUUGGCCAGCAAUUGCACGCACAAGUUAUAUCUAACGGUUGGGAAAGUGUGGAUAGAGAUGGAAGGUUGGCGAAGAGUCUUGUUCAUAUGUACGCAUCGUCUGGUUUGAUCGGUUCAGCGCAGUAUCUGCUCAAUGAAAGCUUUGAUUUACAGUCUUGUAACAUUAUGAUCAAUGGUUAUCUAAGAACUGGGGAUUUGGAACGAGCUCAAACUCUGUUCCAGCAAGUCGAGUGCUUACACGACAAAGUAUCUUGGACAUCCAUGAUCAACGGGUAUCUGGACGCUGGCGAUGUUUCGAGAGCCUUUGAUCUUUUUCAUGAGCUUCACGACAAGGACGGGGUUACAUGGACGGUUAUGAUCUCAGGGCUUGUCCGAAACGAGCUUUUUGCAGAAGCUGCGUCUCUAUUGUCAGAUAUGAUGAGACACGGUCUGAAGCCGUUGAACUCGACUUACUCUGUUCUUCUUAGUUCCGCGGGUGCCACUUCGAAUCUUGAUCAAGGGAAGCAUUUACACUGCGUGAUCGCAAAGACUACGGCUUGCUAUGAUCCUGAUCUCAUCCUUCAGAACUCUCUUGUCUCGAUGUACGCAAAAUGUGGAGCCAUAGACGAUGCUUAUGAGAUAUUCUCAAAGAUGCUCCGGAAAGAUACAGUUUCAUGGAACUCCAUGAUCAUGGGGCUAUCACAUCACGGCCUAGCGGAUAAAGUAUUAAGCCUGUUCAAAGAGAUGCUUGAUUCAGAGAUGAAACCGAACUCUGUAACGUUUCUCGCAGUCCUCUCAGCUUGUAGCCACUCUGGACUCAUCACAAGAGGUUUAGAACUGUUCAAAGCAAUGAAGGAAACCUAUUCGAUCCAGCCGGGGGUAGAGCAUUACAUCUCGAUGAUAGACCUCUUAGGCAGAGCCGGGAAACUAAGAGAAGCAGAGGAGUUCAUCUCAACUCUGCCUUUCACUCCAGACCAUACAGUCUACGGCGCAUUGCUAGGGUUAUGCGGGCUCAACUGGAGAGACAGAGAUGCAGAAGGCAUAGCGAAACGGGCUGCGAUGAGGUUGCUGGAGCUGGACCCGGUGAAUGCGCCGGGACACGUGGCGCUAUGCAACGUGUAUGCUGGUUUAGGGAAGCAUGAGUUGGAGAAGGAGAUGAGGAAAGAGAUGGGGGUUAAAGGUGUGAAGAAGACACCAGGAUGUAGCUGGAUUGUGGUUAAUGGAAAAUCAAAUGUGUUUCUCUCUGGUGAUAAAUCUGCUUGUGAAGUUGCUCAGAUGAGUUUGCCAAUCUUUUGUAGUAAUGGAAUGCUUGAAGAAGAAGAGGAGAAAGUGUUGACUCUCUGCCAUUGCUGAGCAGUGAAACUCUUACAGGUACAUUGAACCAUGUUCCUUUCUCAUCCAUCAAUUGAUUCAUAAUUGAUGUCAUGGAGGAUCUUUGUCUCUCUCAUCUUGUAACUUUUAGGUCAAUGCUGGUCAACGCAGCCAGGAGGAAAUAGAAUCUGUCCAAGUGACCUUUGUUGAGGUUCCUUGGAAUCCAACCAGGCAUGUGAUCCACUGUAGAGAUCUUCACCACCAUCGUCACCAGCAAGCUACUUACAAAGUUCCCCAUCGACAUUGACAUCAUACACAGAGCACUCCCAAAGCUCUUCAGUCCAUCGGGCGUCUGCGCAUUGAAGAACUCGAGCUGACCCACGUACAUGAACACUUCUGAUGCUCCAAUGAGUGAGUAUUGUGGAACCUGUUAAGAAGAUAAAGAUUGUCAGGACUCAGAGGUUCUUCCUGUGUAAGUGAUUGAUUUCAGGACAGUAGUGAGUUGUGUUCCUGUACCUGCCAGAAGAUGCUUAAUGAGCUUGAGCCAUCACACUGAAUGCAACUCUUGUCUGCAUACUUGAGUCUAAAGCAUUCCACAACCCCAGCUGCAACCAUAGCUAAGAUAGCAAUCACAAGUCCAAUACCCAUCCUGUGAAGCUCGGUGAUUCCCUUUGAUCCAUCCUUCUUCUUGAAUCUGGUGGCUAGCGGCUCUAGAACUCUGCGGUAUAUGAAUAUGAACAAAGCGACGCUGAGGAUGUCGAAGCUGGACAUACUUGCGGGAGGGAUUUUGAAACCAGAGACGGUGGUCUUCAUUGCUGCGCCUUGCUCCACAAAGAGAGAAGCCAUUUGGGUGAAGACGACUGAGUAGAUUAUAGUGCAGAGCCAUAUAGGGAUCAGUCUAAGUAUACACUUGACUUCCUCAACUUGUGUCACCGGACAUAGCCUCCAUGGAUUCACUCCGCCUUGUUUCUUGUCGUCAAGAUCUCUUGAUGUGAUGUAAGCUGCUCUGUCCAAGAACCUGCAAGUCAGAACAUAAACAUGUUAAGAACAACGCUUCAUGUAAUUGAAGUACUAUGCUUUUGGCAACUUACUUGAACUCAUCAGUAUGCAUUAUCCUCCUCCCUGUGUUUCCUGAAUCAUUUUUCUCUUGCUUGUCUUCGUCGUACAUCUCCUCUCUCCCUCUAGACGGCGUCUCCACCGAUGAUUUCUUCGUUGCAGCGACCAAAACUUGGCAAAACCUCGAAAGAGGGUUCCCCGUUGGCUUGAAAUGACGGUAUCUCGGUGUUCCAACGAGGAAAAGAAUCAAAGCCAAGAUGGCAGAGCCAGUGGACGCCCAGAAACCAAGUGCCCACAUCCCUUCAUCCUCAAAAUAUCCCAAGAUGGUGUUGGAGAAGAGCGAACCGAGGUUCAAAGCGAGGUAGAAGUAGCUGAAGAAGGCAAUCUUUGAGUACCCUUCUUUAGGAUGCUCCUCAUCGAACUGAUCAGCUCCAAACGUUGCUAUGUUCGGUUGGUAACCGCCAUUCCCCAACGCGAUCAAGUAGAUGGAGAGGUAGAACAUUGUGAUCUCCAUUGUUGAAUGUGUACCGCAAGGCGUGACUUCGUUCCCGCAACCUCUUGGUUUGAUCAAGAACAUGUAUGAUGAUAGCGAUAGCGAUGAAAGUCCCUGUUUUUUGCACAUUCGGAAGUGUUGUAAUCAGUGUUUAACUUUCAUCAAGAUGCUUGCGUUUGUAUUUUAAGAUUCA